AUAAUUUGCCUUCUAUCUUCAUGGGCUCUUUCAGCCCAUCUAUUUUUUCUCUACCACUCACUGAUCGGCAGUAAUCUAGGGAGAUACAUAUCGAUCUCAUCUCUCCGAUAGCAAUUAACGACAGAGAUGUGGGAGAGAGGACUCCAGCGACCACGAGAUACUCCGCACGAUUUGUGACAAUUUUGAAUCUCAAAACCUCUCUAACUCAGCUACUAUUUUACCUCAAUCUUUGACAGAUUGGUUUUUUAUUGAUUUUGAUUCAGACUCAUCUGAAACAUCAUCAUCCAACCCAAUAAAUUUGAGAAGUCCAGAUGCCGAUCGAAAAAUCGAGCACAUCUGCACCGCUCCCCAAUUCACGCUGCUGUUGAUCUUAACCUAUUGAUGAGCCGUGCUAAUAAUCCGGUAACCAGUAGCAUAUGACAUUGUUCAAGCUGUUGAUGAUGCGAAGGAAGCGUCCAAAGUCAAGGUCAGGAUAAUCAGACUUUGUUAUGGCAUAAAUCGUAACCGACAUGAUAAUUAUUAACAAAAGAGGUCGGUAUAAAUAUUCCCCUCACAAAUAAUGUUCAUAUUUAUAGGCAUUCCGAGAGAGCUCUCAUGUUUACUAUAACGAUAACUAUCUAAAGAUCUGGUAGUUUAUUAGGUCGAUCGUAUUACCAAUGCCCUUUGAUCAAUCAAGAAUUUGUAUGAAAACCAAUAUUAAUUGGACACUUCGAGGAUGCUCGCACAUUAGACAAAAAGAUCUUACUUACCACCGUUGAUUAGGUGGAUCGCAUUACUAUGAUCUUCGAUCUAUUAUGAUUCAUGUAAAUUAAAAUAUGACAUGAAAAGUAGCAUGGGAUAUAAAUUUGUUAAUUUAAUUGCAAUGUUUUAAAUGCAUACUUAGCAAGUUGUAAAUUAUGUGAACUCCAAACC